CACAAGGCUCGACACUGUUGCGUCUGCAUGUUUUUUCUCUUUGGACAGACAGGAAAAAAGAUGGACCAGGGGGACUGUCCGACUUAUUCCAUAAGACAGUUCCCGGCCCCCACCCCCCCAAAAGGAUAAUCUUGCUCAAUUUGGGAUGCGUGCAACACCAAGUGAUCACAUAUUACUUGGGCGGCGGUGGUGCUGGUGGUGGAUGGACGGUGAAGUUCAACUUCGCAUGCAGACGCGAUCUCCUCCAGGCAGCCAGACAAACCCACCAGACAGUCGGCGCGUAUUACGUGAAGAGGUCUCCAUAUGGGCUACGGGAUGCGAACACCUGCCCGGUACACAGCACAGUCUCUCUGAACCUAUUGUGGAGCUAACAUGGCUGUCAGCAAUAAGACAUGAUGACAUUAUCCUGCUUUCUUGCUGGAGGCCUCCCAGUAAGGAGUUCUUGUGAACACAUCUUCCGAGUGACAUGGAGACGGGCCUGCAGCCACCAGCGGAGCUGAGCUGAGCCGCUUUAGAGCCCUGCUGAGACCUGCCAGGCCCACAGCUUUCCCUGCCAGGGGCCUCGCUCGAAGUCAAAGUCUACGGUUUUGUCCCUGACGUCCUUUGACCACUCUUUGGCCUUGCCCAUGAUUGUGGAAGGGAAGAAACUGAAUCUGAUCCAGAGUCUUUGUUGGUUGAUGCAUCAGACAGAUGAACUGACUGCUGUGAAGAGAGAGUAAAAUACCUGCAGAAGGAGUGUCGGAUCUUUUUUCGUUGUUGUUAUUUUUAUUCUUGUAUUUAAAAGAUCUCAGUGUAGCUCUCAGGGAUGUAAAAGGGAGUCUGAGCUGUAACAGGAGUGUGUGUGUGUGUG